UUAAGCGACUAAGCGUACACGGUGGAUGCCCUGGCAGUCAGAGGCGAUGAAGGACGUGCUAAUCUGCGAUAAGCGUCGGUAAGGUGAUAUGAACCGUUAUAACCGGCGAUUUCCGAAUGGGGAAACCCAGUGUGUUUCGACACACUAUCAUUAACUGAAUCCAUAGGUUAAUGAGGCGAACCGGGGGAACUGAAACAUCUAAGUACCCCGAGGAAAAGAAAUCAACCGAGAUUCCCCCAGUAGCGGCGAGCGAACGGGGAGCAGCCCAGAGCCUGAAUCAGUGUGUGUGUUAGUGGAAGCGUCUGGAAAGGCGCGCGAUACAGGGUGACAGCCCCGUACACAAAAAUGCACAUACUGUGAGCUCGAUGAGUAGGGCGGGACACGUGGUAUCCUGUCUGAAUAUGGGGGGACCAUCCUCCAAGGCUAAAUACUCCUGACUGACCGAUAGUGAACCAGUACCGUGAGGGAAAGGCGAAAAGAACCCCGGCGAGGGGAGUGAAAAAGAACCUGAAACCGUGUACGUACAAGCAGUGGGAGCACGCUUAGGCGUGUGACUGCGUACCUUUUGUAUAAUGGGUCAGCGACUUAUAUUCUGUAGCAAGGUUAACCGAAUAGGGGAGCCGAAGGGAAACCGAGUCUUAACUGGGCGUUAAGUUGCAGGGUAUAGACCCGAAACCCGGUGAUCUAGCCAUGGGCAGGUUGAAGGUUGGGUAACACUAACUGGAGGACCGAACCGACUAAUGUUGAAAAAUUAGCGGAUGACUUGUGGCUGGGGGUGAAAGGCCAAUCAAACCGGGAGAUAGCUGGUUCUCCCCGAAAGCUAUUUAGGUAGCGCCUCGUGAAUUCAUCUCCGGGGGUAGAGCACUGUUUCGGCAAGGGGGUCAUCCCGACUUACCAACCCGAUGCAAACUGCGAAUACCGGAGAAUGUUAUCACGGGAGACACACGGCGGGUGCUAACGUCCGUCGUGAAGAGGGAAACAACCCAGACCGCCAGCUAAGGUCCCAAAGUCAUGGUUAAGUGGGAAACGAUGUGGGAAGGCCCAGACAGCCAGGAUGUUGGCUUAGAAGCAGCCAUCAUUUAAAGAAAGCGUAAUAGCUCACUGGUCGAGUCGGCCUGCGCGGAAGAUGUAACGGGGCUAAACCAUGCACCGAAGCUGCGGCAGCGACGCUUAUGCGUUGUUGGGUAGGGGAGCGUUCUGUAAGCCUGUGAAGGUGUGCUGUGAGGCAUGCUGGAGGUAUCAGAAGUGCGAAUGCUGACAUAAGUAACGAUAAAGCGGGUGAAAAGCCCGCUCGCCGGAAGACCAAGGGUUCCUGUCCAACGUUAAUCGGGGCAGGGUGAGUCGACCCCUAAGGCGAGGCCGAAAGGCGUAGUCGAUGGGAAACAGGUUAAUAUUCCUGUACUUGGUGUUACUGCGAAGGGGGGACGGAGAAGGCUAUGUUGGCCGGGCGACGGUUGUCCCGGUUUAAGCGUGUAGGCUGGUUUUCCAGGCAAAUCCGGAAAAUCAAGGCUGAGGCGUGAUGACGAGGCACUACGGUGCUGAAGCAACAAAUGCCCUGCUUCCAGGAAAAGCCUCUAAGCAUCAGGUAACAUCAAAUCGUACCCCAAACCGACACAGGUGGUCAGGUAGAGAAUACCAAGGCGCUUGAGAGAACUCGGGUGAAGGAACUAGGCAAAAUGGUGCCGUAACUUCGGGAGAAGGCACGCUGAUAUGUAGGUGAAGCGACUUGCUCGUGGAGCUGAAAUCAGUCGAAGAUACCAGCUGGCUGCAACUGUUUAUUAAAAACACAGCACUGUGCAAACACGAAAGUGGACGUAUACGGUGUGACGCCUGCCCGGUGCCGGAAGGUUAAUUGAUGGGGUCAGCGCAAGCGAAGCUCUUGAUCGAAGCCCCGGUAAACGGCGGCCGUAACUAUAACGGUCCUAAGGUAGCGAAAUUCCUUGUCGGGUAAGUUCCGACCUGCACGAAUGGCGUAAUGAUGGCCAGGCUGUCUCCACCCGAGACUCAGUGAAAUUGAACUCGCUGUGAAGAUGCAGUGUACCCGCGGCAAGACGGAAAGACCCCGUGAACCUUUACUAUAGCUUGACACUGAACAUUGAGCCUUGAUGUGUAGGAUAGGUGGGAGGCUUUGAAGUGUGGACGCCAGUCUGCAUGGAGCCGACCUUGAAAUACCACCCUUUAAUGUUUGAUGUUCUAACGUUGACCCGUAAUCCGGGUUGCGGACAGUGUCUGGUGGGUAGUUUGACUGGGGCGGUCUCCUCCUAAAGAGUAACGGAGGAGCACGAAGGUUGGCUAAUCCUGGUCGGACAUCAGGAGGUUAGUGCAAUGGCAUAAGCCAGCUUGACUGCGAGCGUGACGGCGCGAGCAGGUGCGAAAGCAGGUCAUAGUGAUCCGGUGGUUCUGAAUGGAAGGGCCAUCGCUCAACGGAUAAAAGGUACUCCGGGGAUAACAGGCUGAUACCGCCCAAGAGUUCAUAUCGACGGCGGUGUUUGGCACCUCGAUGUCGGCUCAUCACAUCCUGGGGCUGAAGUAGGUCCCAAGGGUAUGGCUGUUCGCCAUUUAAAGUGGUACGCGAGCUGGGUUUAGAACGUCGUGAGACAGUUCGGUCCCUAUCUGCCGUGGGCGCUGGAGAACUGAGGGGGGCUGCUCCUAGUACGAGAGGACCGGAGUGGACGCAUCACUGGUGUUCGGGUUGUCAUGCCAAUGGCACUGCCCGGUAGCUAAAUGCGGAAGAGAUAAGUGCUGAAAGCAUCUAAGCACGAAACUUGCCCCGAGAUGAGUUCUCCCUGACUCCUUGAGAGUCCUGAAGGAACGUUGAAGACGACGACGUUGAUAGGCCGGGUGUGUAAGCGCAGCGAUGCGUUGAGCUAACCGGUACUAAUGAACCGUGAGGCUUAACCUU
rnacentral:rRNA from 3 species